rfam:Hordeum vulgare subsp. vulgare, WGS project CAJW01000000 data, contig: morex_contig_38560
GAUCUACUCCCUCCAUCCCAAAAUUCUNNNNUUAGAUUUGUCUAGAUAUGAAUGUAUCUAGUCACGUUUUAGUAUUUAGAUAAAUCCAUUUCUAAACAAACCUAAGACAAUAAUUUUAGGACGGAGGGAGUAGUUG